GUCUGGUGCCAGCAGCCGCGGUAAUUCCAGCUCCAAUAGCGUAUAUUAAAAUUGUUGCAGUUAAAAAGCUCGUAGUUGAAGUUCUGCUGAAAGUAACCGGUCUGCUUUUAAUAAAAGUGGUAUCUUGGUAUGUAUUUAGCAAUGAUGUCCUUUGAAGUGUUUUUUACUUUAUUGUAAUAAAGCAUAUUCAGGACUUUUACUUUGAGAAAAUUAGAGUGUUUCUAGCAGGCUGACGCUUUGAAUACUGCAGCAUGGAAUAAUAAGAUAGGAUUUUAGUUCUACAUUAUUGGUUUUAAGAGCUAAAUUAAUGAUUGAUAGGGACAGUUGGGGGCAUUUGUAUUUAACUGUCAGAGGUGAAAUUCUUAGAUUUGUUAAAGACAAACUACUGCGAAAGCAUUUGCCAAAGAUGUUUUCAUUAAUCAAGAACGAAAGUUAGGGGAUCGAAGACGAUCAGAUACCGU
rnacentral:rRNA from 1 species